rnacentral:rRNA from 1 species
UUUCCUACGGGAGGCAGCAGUGGGGAAUAUUGCACAAUGGGCGCAAGCCUGAUGCAGCCAUGCCGCGUGUAUGAAGAAGGCCUUCGGGUUGUAAAGCACUUUCAGCAGUGAGGAAGGCAGGUACGUUAAUAGCGUGAUUGUUGACGUAGCUCAGAGAGCCCUGUC